UCGAUUAUCCGGGCAGCUCGGGACGGAUAAUGGUCCAAGAAAUGUCAAAUUCAUAUAAAAAUUUAAUAAUCCCCUAGUUUUAUGAUAAAUUCACCUUGUAUCCAUCGAAAAAUCGUUAGUAGAAUAUUAUUUUAAUUAUUGACUAUAGGUUUAACAACUUUUCAUGAACAAAAAUAAAUUUCAAAUACACCACUAGACACUACAGAGCUGCACAAAAAACUGGUUGCCCACUUGACUAUCGCUGCAAAUGUUCGCCGUACGUUUGAACAGCUGUCACAUUUAUGCGCACGGUUAAGCCGCCCGCCGGUUAAUCCGCCCCCGGAUAAUCCACGUUCUACUGUAUAACACACAGUGUUUUUCAAAUUUUAUCUACACCAUUUCCAAUUUAUUCAAUAUUCGGAAAAUCAUUUUUCAUUCUUAUUUAUGUAAUAAUGCGUAUUUAUUUUUAUACCAUACUAUUUUUUUAUUAACUGUUUGAAAACUAUGUGUUUUCUUUUAUUCCUCUCUUUGAAUCUGCGGUGAUAAUAAAAAAAGAAUUUAAAAAUAAAAAAAAUAUAUUUCUGUAAUAUCCUGGAGAUAUGACCCCUGAUAAGACCAUAGUGCCCAAUAUGCCGGAUCAGAAUAUGACCAUCACCGUGACAACUGUGCGAUAAUCUGAAUGUCAAAAUAAAGAUCAUUCGUUUACGGAUCGUUGUACUGACAACACCUUCAGCCUUCUGUUUAUUCUUCUACUUUGCGAUUUUGUGCCUUUGUUCUAACUUGAACGUUUAAUUCAAAUUGGUAAAAUUCGAGGUUUUACAUCUCAGAAGUGGGAUACGUCUUAUCGCCUGCACCUGCUUUUCUGUCCAAUCCAGCACGGCACAAGAUUGUGUAUCAAAGAGUUUGUGUGUUUGUGUGUGAGACGACGCUACCAUCUGCCAUUGCGAUGCGCAAAAACGAGAAGCUUCUGUGUGUGCUUGCCGGUAUAGGCAGCAAAUUCGAUGAUUAGGCACGAUUUGCCUCAUGGGUAGAUGGCCAGAUUCACCACCCGCAACGAUCUCGAUCCCUGCAACCGCAUAGACACCAGCCAUCCAGCAUUUGCAUUUUGUGUGGCCGCCAUCUUGUUCAUGUUGCGCGACAAUGACGACGCCGCCAUUUAGUAUGAAUACGGCCGCUGGCUAUUCUUUCAUCAUCGCUCAUACUUGGAAUACUGGAAAAGCUUCGCGCAUCACUUCUGUUAUUGCAUGUGCACCGCAUGCCGUGUUGUCAUCGCCUCCGAUUCAUCGUGUGUAUUGCCUUCCGCCACUUUAUGGAUUGACCCCGCUACCACCCUCUACCGCCGCGUCAUGUUCGAGUGCUGUGGCAUCGGUUGUAGCCUACUGAACUGUUGAACAACAAUCAUCGUGGUGUCGUUCAGUAUUCAGGUUCAUCCUGAUCGACAUUGUCCUUAUGCUUGGCUGUAACUUCUGUAAACGUCAGCAAGACUUCUGGAGGAGAUGCCGAUCAGCGGCAGCAGUACUUACACCCGCUAUGAGAUUGAUUCAACCGCACGCAUCACAUGACGACAUCAUUCAGGAUCAGUUCUUUUCGAUAUCAGCAUCGUCCUCAUGCUUGGCUGUAACUUCCGUAAACUUCAGCAAGACUUCCGGAGGAGAUGUUGGUCAGAAAAGCAGCUGUGAUUGAAAUUGACACCCACCUUGAAGUUGACCCAACUUUACGCAUCAUAUGACGACAUCAAUCCGGAUCAACACCUUUCGAUAUCAUCAUCGUCCUUAUGCUUGGCUGUAACUUCCGUAACCUUCAGCAAGACUUCCGGAGGAGAUGUUGGUCAGAAAAGCAGUUGUGAUUGAAAGUAUGUGAGUUAUUCUCAUGCCAGCUCUGUUCAAUAAGUAUUGAAGAUUUCUACAGCAAAGCCGCUCAAAUUGAGGUCAAUUUGUUUGUCAGAAUAGCCGAGCUGUAAUAUCCUGGAGAUUUGACCCCUGAUAAGACCAUAGUGCCCAAUAUGCCGGAUCAGAAUAUGACCAUCACCGUGACAACUGUGCGAUAAUCUGAAUGUCAAAAUAAAGAUCAUUCGUUUACGGAUCGUUGUACUGACAACACCUUCAGCCUUCUGUUUAUUCUUCUACUUUGCGAUUUUGUGCUUUGUUAUAACUUGAACGUUUAAUUCAAAUUGGUAAAAUUCGAGGUUUUACAUUUCAUAUUUUCAAAUGAUAGAUGUGAAGAGUUUGAUGAAGGGUAUGCAAUAUUUGCAAAUGAGAAAAAUUUUCAUAAAAAUAUAUAUUUUCUUGGGCAAAAUAAUAUGCUCUUGAUGACGAUAAUUUUUGAGACAUACUGUACAUGGUCACGUACAUGGCGCCUCCAUUUCUUAUGUCAAAAAGUUCGUCAAGCUUCGUGUGUGUAGCUUGUGUGUAGAUGGCAACAAAACCAAGCGUCUGCGACAAUUUCUAUCAGCUAUUGUUUAAUUUGUGUGUCAUCAUGAUUUUAUAACAGCAUAUUUGAUUUGGAUAGCGUUUGGACAUCAUGUUUUUCGUCCAAGGCUGCAGCUGACCUCCAUGCUGAUAUAAUGGAAGAAACCCAUGGAAUGGAAGAAACUUAUGUGAUACAGUGACAAUAUGCAGCGACAAAACGAUGAAAUGUCGAAUAAAAGUAUUUGUGGUGAA